AUUGAACGCUAGCGGCAGGCCUAACACAUGCAAGUCGAGCGCGAAAGUCUUCGGAUGAGUAAAGCGGCGGACGGGUGAGUAAUGCAUGGGAAUCCGCCUGGUAGUGGGGGACAACGUUUCGAAAGAGACGCUAAUACCGCAUACGCCCUACGGGGGAAAGGGGGGGAUCUUCGGACCUCUCGCUAUCAGAUGAGCCCAUGUCAGAUUAGCUAGUUGGUAGGGUAAAGGCCUACCAAGGCGACGAUCUGUAACUGGUCUGAGAGGAUGAUCAGUCACACUGGAACUGAGACACGGUCCAGACUCCUACGGGAGGCAGCAGUGGGGAAUAUUGGACAAUGGGGGCAACCCUGAUCCAGCCAUGCCGCGUGUGUGAAGAAGGCCUUAGGGUUGUAAAGCACUUUCAGUGGGGAGAAAGGUUAUUUACCUAAUACGUAAGUAAAUUGAUGCUACCCACAGAAGAAGCACCGGCUAACUCCGUGCCAGCAGCCGCAGUAA
rnacentral:rRNA from 1 species